rnacentral:lncRNA from 1 species
GAGGAAAUUGGAACAACGCUGGCUGCUGUGUUUCAAGACAAAGACUGCUGCCACACCGGGGAGAGGAUGGGGCCAGAGAAGGAGGCAUGAUGAAAGAUGGCUUUGACCCAUUUGAAGACUUUCAGCCAGAAAAUGUGCUUCGUACUAGGAGCUGGAGGAACGGCAUUGCCACCACACCGCACGCCUUCUUGAUGGAAUAGCCACAGCCAGAAACCUCCCUCUGUCCCUUCCCACAUGG